UCUAUUUACUAUGUUACUGUUAAUCUCUUACUGUGCCUAAUUUAUGAAUUAAGCUUUAUCGCAGGUAUGAAUGUAGAACAGUAAAUUCCACAUUAUCUAUGGUUUCAGGCAUCCACUGCGGGUCUUGGAAUGUAUCCCCCACAGAAGGGGGAUAUGAACCAAAAAGUAUCUGAGACUGUUCUCAACCAGUUAAUUUUGCCAAGGUCAAGGAUAAGGCCAGGGAGGCAAAACAAAACGUGACAAAACACGGAAUCGCUGAAACAGUCUGUGGUCUGUGCCUUUCUCCAAAGGUGACUUUGAGGGCUUCCAUAUUUAAAGGGGAAAAGCAGGCUGGAGGGGGAAGUGGGAGGGUCCGGUCCUAGUGCUGCCGCCACGGGUUGCAAGAGAAGAGAAGCAGGCAGGGGAACAGUCAAUCGUGUAUUCAUCUGGUGCUCAGUAAAUUGGCACUUCACAUAAGAUAAGUUGAGGUGACUGGAGAGUCUUCCAUUUGCAGAUGAGCUGUGUGCCGGACCCAUGAGUGUGGAGCCGGCAGUCACUGCCCCACGAGUCCCGCAUGUCACAGCUUCUUAAACAGAUGGUCAAGAGCUUACAUGCGGUUCCUUAUCCCAACCCGCCGCGGCCCGAUGCGCCCUGGCUUUUUCUGGAACUGUUGUUCUGUGGAUCCUCGCCGAGAACGCCCAGUUCUCCUUGCUGCUCAGUCAUGGAGUCUCUCUGGGGACCCCGCUGCCGCGCUGGUCCUUCUGCAGAGGCCGCCUCCCUGCAGCGCUGUCUUGGUCAGGCUCCCAGCAGGAAAAGACGACACCCGAAUGAAGAUCAUCUAAGGAGGCUUCAGUGAAGGGACCAUUUACCACGGAUGAGACAGCAGGGCGUGCGGGCGGCACGAGGGGCCGCUGUAGCAUCUGGAGCUGCUAACAGUGGAGCUGUCACUCCCAUGUCACACUCCCAGGCCAGAAGAGACCAGGGGAGGGGACUCAGCCCAGACACUGGGAGUGGCACCAGGGGGCUGCCUUGAGAGGCGAGUGCCAGAGAGAGUCAGGGACUCCCCAGGGGCCAUCCCAGAGGGCACUGAGGAGGUUCACUGGGUCUGGGACCCGGAGGAGGCGGGGAAGGAGAGUGGGUCUGAAGGGUAAGGGGUCGAUGUGGGUGCAAUUGCCCUUUCUGAUUCCGCUCUCCCGGUUUUCUGUCCCUCUCUGGCCGCCCCUGUCCUGUCUCUAGUUGAGGUCUUUCUUGGCCAGUGCCUGCCUCCCUGGCGCCUGUGGUUUCAGUGAUGGGGAUUCUUCCAUGCGUCACUUGGAGCGACCUCGUCUGUUCCUGUGGACUCACUGACACACUAAAGACACCAGCUCAGCCCUGACCUCUCACCUGAGCGCCUCCUUACCAAGUCAUCCAGAUGGCUCCCCAGGGAUGAGCAGCAACAAAACGGGCACGUGGGUGCCCAGCACACGUCAGGUGAUGUUCUAAGCCCCUUGCGCGUACCCAGUCACUUACCGUUCACUGCAGCCCCGGGAUGAGCUCUGCGAUGAGCAUCCUUUUGCAGACGAGGACACUGAAGCACAGGAAAGUUAGGUCAUUUGCCUAAGGACAUGCAGCUGGAUGGGGACAGAGCCAGGAUCGGGCUUGCAGUGGCUUCAGACCCCACCUUUCUGACCACAGCGCUCGUGCUCUUGGAGCGCCUUGAGAUAGUGGGACAAGGCGGACUGGAGGACGCAGUUUCCAGAUGGGAUGCCCUGGCGGGCGACUCCCGUGCGCAUGCCCAGCAUCCUGCGCAGGCGCUCUCGUGGCCAGGCCUCUGCAAACAGUCAGCACAGACCGGGAGACAGAAAACUACACUCCCUCAGACGCUUUAUUGUUUACAAAACAGAUGGAUCCCAUAGGGAAGGAACACAAUCAUUAUGCUGAC
rnacentral:lncRNA from 10 species